CAGGUGUCUGUGAAGGGGGAAGGGGACCUCCCCACCCCUGCCUCUGUGCCUCUGACCUGUCUGCAGAAUGAAACUGUUAGGCCAAGUUCUUAUGCUCCUUCUAGCUCCCAGAUCCUGAAUCUAAUGAGUUAAGGUGAGCAGCGGGAGACCAGGUAGAAGCCACCUGCCACAUCACUAGGACACACAAGCAGCCAAUGCAGAUGUCCAUGGAGUAAGGAACUGAGGCCUCCUGCCAAUAGCUGCGUGAGUGUGCCACCUUGGAAGCAGACUGUCCAGCCCCAGUCAAACCUUCAAAUGACUGCGGCCCCAGCUGACAUUUCACUGCAUCUUCGUGAAAGGCCAUCAACCAGAACCACCCAUCUAAGCCAUUCCUAAUUUCUAGUCCUCGGAAACUGAGUUAUCUAAUAAAUGUUUGUUAUUUUAAGCUGCUAAA
rnacentral:lncRNA from 10 species